rnacentral:rRNA from 1 species
UUGACCUCGGAUCAGGUAGGAAUACCCGCUGAACUUAAGCAUAUCAAUAGGCGGGAGGUCGGAUCAUUAAA